CAAGAGGGUUCCUAAAAUAUUAUAGACAAAACAAGUCACUACAUAAUACAUAUAAGCAGAUACAGAAACAAGUUUAUUGUCCUAUACCAAAUUUCAAAAUUCAAACAACAAUAUAACAUUUCAAAUAUUAGCUAGUUUACAUUGGGUAUUCAACUAUUCAAUAAACACCGUGGAUACCGCAUAUACUAUCACCAUUUGGCCAAUGGCCAG
rnacentral:pre_miRNA from 1 species